GGGGUUGUGGCUCAGUGGUAGAGCACUUGCUUAGCAGCAUAAGGCACUGGGUUUGAUCCUCAGCACCUCUU
rnacentral:tRNA from 1 species